rnacentral:lncRNA from 1 species
AUGGGAAUUAUCCCAAUUGGGUGCACCUGGAGCACCUCAUCAACCAAUCAGAGCUGCUCCAAUCCCGUUAAUUCCUCCCACCUGGAAUUAAUCCUGACCAUCACUUCAAGCUGGGAGCUUGUCUUAAUUCCCAAAAAAACCUCGGGAGGAGCUGCUGGAUCCGGGUGCUCUGGGUUUUCCUGCUUUUCCCGGUUUUUAGCUCUGCAGUGUGGAAUUGUGAGGACACGGAUUUGUGGGAAGCCUCCUGCAGUGCCAGGAGCUGCUCCAGCGAAGAGAUGGAAGUUUGGGAAGGUGUUCCCUCAGCUCAUGGAAUUGUUUGGGAUGGCAGGGAUCUUAAAUCCCACCCAUUCCCACCCCUUUUCCAUGGGCAGGGACACUUCCCGCUAUCCCAGGCUGCUCCUGGCCUUGGACACUACCAGGGAUCUGGGGCAGCCACAGCUCCUCUGGGAAUUCCAUCCCAGCCCCUCAAUGCUCUGAGUUUUUUUAAGAAAUGAUGACGUAUUCUCAAAAACAGGAAUGUUGUUAUUGAAACCUCUGGAAAAUGGAAUUAAAUUUGGGCUGGGAGAGACUGGGUAAAAAUGCUGAUGGAUGCAUGGCAUGGAAAUCCUGGAUUUUUCCAGGGGAUUAUUGUAAAUGAACUCCUUUUACUUGCUAGAAGCUGUUUUGCAUGGAUUUGCACAUCCAGCCUUUUUUAUGGAGCAUCCAAGCAGGAGAAGCAGGAGGUGCAAACAGAACCUCCCCCCCCAGAUUCCCGGUGUUGUUUAUUCCCAAAUUUCCGUAAGCAAAAUCCAAUCCGAGCUCGGAGAUGCUCUAGGAGAGGGAGCUGAGAAAAUGAGGUUCAACCCCAAGCGACCGCCCAACCUCUUCCCAUCCUUCUAAUUCCAGGAUGGAAUGGCUCUGAUCCACAGUUUUAAUGGAAUUUUCCCCUGGAGCCCCCAGGAAGAGCCACCCGAUGCCACCAGCAGCACCAGGGCUGCCGAUGCUGCAGGAAUGCUUCAUUAACCACCAGAAAUUUAAUUGCUCCUUGAGUGCCGGCUGCAUUCCCAGAUUUCCCCGCAGCCUGGAUGAUCCAUGCGCUCUUCCCACUGACGGCAAUUUGGGAAUGCGCUGGGAUCACUCGGAGUCGUUUGGCCCAAAUUCCAGAGUGGCCCAUUGGGUGCUGCAUUCCCAAAAUUUUGCUGGAGCUCUGAGUACUCUGGCCCGAAUUCCGGAGUGGCCCAUUUGGGCCAGAGUGAGCCGUUAGGUGCUGAUUCCCAAAUUUUUUUGCUGGAGCUCUGAGCUCCCUGGCCCGAAUUCCGGAGUGGCCCAUUUGGUGCUGCAUUUCCAAAAUUUUUUUUGCUGAAGCUCUGACUUCCCUGGCAGCCAAAUUGUUCCUCCUUGGCAGAGGGAAGAGAGGCCUGGGAAUUUUAAAAGUGCAAAAUUGAAUUGUUGGAAUAUUCCAGGGAACAAAGUCAUGGGAAGAUGAUUAAGGAAUUCU